rnacentral:rRNA from 1 species
CUUAACUGGGCGUUAAGUUGCAGGGUAUAGACCCGAAACCCGGUGAUCUAGCCAUGGGCAGGUUGAAGGUUGGGUAACACUAACUGGAGGACCGAACCGACUAAUGUUGAAAAAUUAGCGGAUGACUUGUGGCUGGGGGUGAAAGGCCAAUCAAACCGGGAGAUAGCUGGUUCUCCCCGAAAGCUAUUUAGGUAGCGCCUCGUGAAUUCAUCUCCGGGGGUAGAGCACUGUUUCGGCAAGGGGGUCAUCCCGACUUACCAACCCGAUGCAAACUGCGAAUACCGGAGAAUGUUAUCACGGGAGACACACGGCGGGUGCUAACGUCCGUCGUGAAGAGGGAAACAACCCAGACCGCCAGCUAAGGUCCCAAAGUCAUGGUUAAGUGGGAAACGAUGUGGGAAGGCCCAGACAGCCAGGAUGUUGGCUUAGAAGCAGCCAUCAUUUAAAGAAAGCGUAAUAGCUCACUGGUCGAGUCGGCCUGCGCGGAAGAUGUAACGGGGCUAAACCAUGCACCGAAGCUGCGGCAGCGACACUGUGUGUUGUUGGGUAGGGGAGCGUUCUGUAAGCCUGUGAAGGUGUGCUGUGAGGCAUGCUGGAGGUAUCAGAAGUGCGAAUGCUGACAUAAGUAACGAUAAAGCGGGUGAAAAGCCCGCUCGCCGGAAGACCAAGGGUUCCUGUCCAACGUUAAUCGGGGCAGGGUGAGUCGACCCCUAAGGCGAGGCCGAAAGGCGUAGUCGAUGGGAAACAGGUUAAUAUUCCUGUACUUGGUGUUACUGCGAAGGGGGGACGGAGAAGGCUAUGUUGGCCGGGCGACGGUUGUCCCGGUUUAAGCGUGUAGGCUGGUUUUCCAGGCAAAUCCGGAAAAUCAAGGCUGAGGCGUGAUGACGAGGCACUACGGUGCUGAAGCAACAAAUGCCCUGCUUCCAGGAAAAGCCUCUAAGCAUCAGGUAACAUCAAAUCGUACCCCAAACCGACACAGGUGGUCAGGUAGAGAAUACCAAGGCGCUUGAGAGAACUCGGGUGAAGGAACUAGGCAAAAUGGUGCCGUAACUUCGGGAGAAGGCACGCUGAUAUGUAGGUGAAGUCCCUCGCGGAUGGAGCUGAAAUCAGUCGAAGAUACCAGCUGGCUGCAACUGUUUAUUAAAAACACAGCACUGUGCAAACACGAAAGUGGACGUAUACGGUGUGACGCCUGCCCGGUGCCGGAAGGUUAAUUGAUGGGGUCAGCGCAAGCGAAGCUCUUGAUCGAAGCCCCGGUAAACGGCGGCCGUAACUAUAACGGUCCUAAGGUAGCGAAAUUCCUUGUCGGGUAAGUUCCGACCUGCACGAAUGGCGUAAUGAUGGCCAGGCUGUCUCCACCCGAGACUCAGUGAAAUUGAACUCGCUGUGAAGAUGCAGUGUACCCGCGGCAAGACGGAAAGACCCCGUGAACCUUUACUAUAGCUUGACACUGAACAUUGAGCCUUGAUGUGUAGGAUAGGUGGGAGGCUUUGAAGUGUGGACGCCAGUCUGCAUGGAGCCGACCUUGAAAUACCACCCUUUAAUGUUUGAUGUUCUAACGUGGAC